GGGGGUGUGGCUCAGUUGGUAGAGCAAUGCGUUCGCAACGCAUAGGCCAGGGGUUCGAAUCCCCUCAUCUCCACCA
rnacentral:tRNA from 1 species